CCUACGGGGGGCAGCAGUGGGGAAUAUUGCUCAAUGGGCGAAAGCCUGACGCAGCGACGCCGCGUGAGGGAUGAAGGUCUUCGGAUCGGAAACCUCUGUCAGCAGGGAAGAACGGUCACUGUGCUAAUCAGCAGUGAAUUGACGGUACCUGCAAAGGAAGCACCGGCUAACUCCGUGCCAGCAGCCGCGGUAAUACGGAGGGUGCGAGCGUUAAUCGGAAUUACUGGGCGUAAAGCGCGCGUAGGCGGGAGGUCAAGGCAAGGGGGAAAUUCCCGCGCGCAACGUGGGAAGUGCCGUUGAAACGGGCAAACUGGAGUGUGUGAGAGGAGAGUGGAA
rnacentral:rRNA from 1 species